GUUAGUUGUUUGUAGUUUAUGUCUCCUAGGAGGACUUCGGACCAUGGAUGUGCUAUGUAAUGGACUGAAUUUAAUCUGCAUGAUUAUCUCUAUCAUAUCUUCAACCUUUUUUUGUACAAAUAAGAUUCAGGUUUCCGUACUGCCGGUUUUACGACCCUCGGUACCACCGGCCGUCUGGGCCCGGCCAGCCUGGGGACCCACUACCGCGGACAGGACCACGAGGGGCUGGUGCAGCUGAAGGACGGGAUUCAGUACUUCACUGUACCAGAUACAGGGAAGUACAGGGUAGAGGCGGCAGGUUCUGCUGCAGGUUGGGGUGCUUAUGAUCCCAAAUCCGCCAGAGGGCGUGGUGCGGUAGUCAGGGGGACCUUUCAACUGCAGAAAGGUGAGGUGUUGAAGAUACUUGUUGGCCAAGAGGGAGGGGAGAACAAGUCCAGCAAUGGAGUCGGCGGUGGAGGCGGAACCUUCGUCGCCAAGACGGACAACACGCCGCUGAUCGUGGCGGGGGGUGCGGGGGGAGGGAAUGGCGUGAGUAAAAGGAACCCCAACAGUGACGGUACAACCGCGACAGCAGGGCAGUACAGCUCAGGUGGUACCACUAAUUUUGCAGGAGGUUCUGAAGGAAAAGGCGCUACACAAGGGGAUGAUGAUCAUGUCGGUGGGGGAGGCGGGGGUCUCCUAACGGACGGCGCGAGCGGGAAAUUCAGCUUUGGUGGCAC